UCCGCUUCGGGGUCAAGCCCCAGAGAGCGCCGCGAAAACCACAUUUCCCAGAGUGCACCGCGACGGCAGGGGUCCUCAGACAGGCUCUCGCGCGCCGGCGUCAUCUUUAUAAAGAAGAACGGCGGUGCGGCCUGUGGUCAUGGCGCUGUUCCCAGCCUUUGCGGCGCUUAGUGAGGCUCCCGAUGGCGGGAGCUCCAGGAAAGAGUUAGACUGGCUGAGCAACCCAAGCUUUUGUGUCGGAUCCAUAACGUCCCUGAGCCAACAAACUGAAGCAGCCCCAGCCCAUGUUUCUGAAGGGCCACCGCUGACGAGGAGUCAUCUGAAAUCAGAGUCUUCAGAUGAAAGUGACACUAACAAAAAGCUCAAACAAACAAGCAGAAAAAAGAAGAAAGAGAAAAAGAAAAAAAGGAAGCAUCAGCAUCAUAAGAAAACAAAGAGGAAGCAUGGGCCGUCGAGUAGCAGCAGGUCUGAGACAGACACUGAUUCUGAAAAGGACAGACCUUCCAGAGGCGUCAGAGGCAGUAAAAAGGAAUCUGAGAAACCGAAUCAAGGAAAUAAUGCUGCAGCUGAUACUGGACAUCGCUUUGUUUGGCUUGAGGACAUUCAGGCUGUGACAGGAGAAACCUUCAGAACAGAUAAGAAACCAGAUCCUGCGAACUGGGAGUACAAGUCUCUCUACCGAGGGGAUAUAGCAAGAUACAAGAGGAAAGGAGACUCCUGCCUUGGCAUUAACCCUAAGAAGCAGUGCAUAUCUUGGGAAGGGACUUCCACAGAGAAGAAGCAUUCACGCAAGCAGGUUGAACGCUAUUUUACUAAGAAGAGUGUGGGAUUAAUGAACAUUGAUGGAGUUGCCAUUAGCAGUAAAACUGAACCUCCCUUAUCUGAGCCCAUCUCCUUUAUACCAGUGAAGGACUUGGAAGAUGCGGCUCCUGUUACAACCUGGUUGAAUCCUCUGGGGAUUUAUGAUCAGUCAACCACACAGUGGCUACAAGGACAGGGUCCUCCAGAGCAGGAAUCAAAGCAGCCAGAUGCACAGCCAGACAGCGAGAGUGCGGCUCUCAAGGCCAAGGUGGAGGAGUUUAACAGGAGAGUGCGGGAGAAUCCUCGGGAUACGCAGCUGUGGAUGGCAUUCGUUGCUUUUCAGGACGAGGUCAUGAAAAGUCCUGGCCUGUAUGCCAUCGAGGAAGGAGAGCAGGAAAAGCGAAAGAGGUCCCUGAAGCUCAUUCUGGAGAAGAAGCUGGCCAUUCUGGAGCGGGCCAUUGAGAGCAACCAGAGCAGUGUGGAUCUGAAACUGGCCAAGCUGAAGCUCUGCACAGAGUUCUGGGAGCCCUCCACUCUGGUCAAAGAGUGGCAGAAACUGAUAUUUUUGCAUCCCAAUAAUACAGCCCUUUGGCAGAAAUACCUUUUAUUUUGCCAGAGCCAGUUUAGUACCUUUUCGAUAUCAAAAAUUCACAGCCUUUAUGGAAAAUGCUUGAGCACUUUGUCUGCUGUUAAGGACGGCAGCAUCUUAUCUCACCCUGCGUUGCCUGGCACGGAAGAGGCCAUGUUUGCACUCUUUCUUCAGCAGUGCCACUUUCUGCGGCAGGCUGGCCACUCUGAGAAGGCCGUCUCAUUGUUCCAGGCCAUGGUGGACUUCACCUUCUUCAAACCCGACAGCGUGAAAGAUCUGCCUACCAAAGGACAGGUGGAAUUCUUUGAGCCCUUUUGGGACAGUGGAGAGCCCCGGGCUGGGGAGAAGGGAGCCCGAGGCUGGAAGGCGUGGAUGCACCAGCAGGAACGAGGUGGCUGGGUGGUCAUCAACCCAGAUGAGGAUGACGAUGAACCAGAAGAGGACGACCAGGAAAUAAAAGAUAAGACUCUGCCCAGGUGGCAGAUCUGGCUUGCUGCUGAGCGUUCCCGAGAUCAGAGGCACUGGCGGCCCUGGCGCCCUGAUAAGACCAAGAAGCAAACUGAGGAAGACUGUGAGGAUCCCGAGAGACAGGUGUUGUUUGAUGAUAUUGGGCAGUCUUUGAUCAGACUUUCCAGCCACGAUCUUCAGUUCCAGCUGGUGGAGGCCUUCCUGCAGUUCUUGGGUGUGCCUUCUGGCUUUACUCCUCCAGCUUCCUGUCUUUAUCUGGCCAUGGAUGAGAACAGCAUCUUUGAUAAUGAACUUUAUGAUGAAAAGCCCUUGACUUUUUUCAACCCUUCGUUUUCUGGGGCUAGCUGUGUUGGUCGCUUGGAUAGGUUAGGCUGUCCUCGCUGGACCAGGAGUCAGAACCGAGAGGGCGAGGAGUUCAUCCGCAAUGUCUUCCACCUUGUCAUGCCCUUGUUUUCAGGCAAAGAGAAGUCCCAGCUCUGCUUCUCCUGGUUACAGUAUGAGAUUGCAAAGGUCAUUUGGUGCCUGCACACUAAAAACAAGAAGAGAUUAAAGUCACAAGGGAAGAACUGCAAAAAACUAGCCAAGAAUCUCCUUAAGGAGCCAGAAAACUGCAACAACUUUUGCCUGUGGAAGCAGUAUGCACAUCUGGAGUGGUUGCUUGGCAACACAGAGGAUGCCAGAAAAGUUUUUGACACAGCACUCGGCAUGGCAGGAAGCAGAGAACUGAAAGACUCUGACCUCUGUGAGCUCAGUCUGCUCUAUGCUGAGCUGGAGGUGGAGCUGUCGCCAGAAGUGAGAGGGGCCACCACAGCCCGAGCUGUUCACAUAUUAACCAAGCUGACUGAGAGCAGCCCCUAUGGGCCCUACACUGGACAGGUGUUGGCUGUUCACAUUUUGAAAGCGCGAAAGGCUUAUGAGCACGCGCUGCAGGACUGCUUGGGUGACAGCUGUGUCUCUGAUCCAGCUCCCACCGAUUCCUGUAGCCGCCUAAUUAGCCUGGCUAAAUGCUUCAUGCUCUUCCAGUAUUUGACCAUAGGGAUUGAUGCUGCUGUGCGGAUAUACGAACAGGUGUUUGCAAAACUGAACAGUUCUGUUUUCCCAGAAGGCUCUGGCGAGGGGUACAGUGCCAGCUCCCAGAGUUGGACCAGUGUUCUCGAAGCCAUCACACUGAUGCACACGAGCCUGCUGAGAUUCCACAUGAAAGUGAGUGUUUACCCACUGGCCCCUCUGCGAGAGGCACUCUCACAGGCUUUAAAGUUGUAUCCGGGCAACCAGGUUCUUUGGAGGUCCUAUGUACAGAUUCAGAAUAAGUCCCACAGUGCCAGCAAGACCAGGAGAUUUUUUGACACAAUCACGAGGUCUGCCAAACCCUUGGAGCCUUGGUUGUUUGCAAUUGAAGCUGAGAAACUGAGGAAGAGACUGGUGGAAACUGUCCAGAGGUUAGACGGUAGAGAGAUCCAUGCCACAAUUCCUGAGACCGGCUUAAUGCAUCGGAUCCAAGCCCUGUUUGAAAAUGCCCUGUGCAGCGACAGUGGCAGCCAGUGCCCCUUGCUGUGGAGGAUGUAUUUGAACUUUCUGGUUUCCUUGGGAAAUAAAGAAAGAAGCAAAGGUAUAUUCUACAAAGCACUUCAGAAUUGUCCUUGGGCAAAGGUGUUGUACCUGGAUGCUGUGGAGUACUUCCCCCAUGAGAUGCAGGAGAUCCUGGACCUGAUGACUGAGAAGGAGCUCCGGGUGCGCCUGCCGCUGGAGGAGCUGGAGCUGCUGCUGGAGGAUUAGAGAGCAGCGGGGAAAUGGGCUGUGCCUGCGAGGCUAAGUUGCCCACCCUGCGGAGCUAGGAGGCGCGAGCGGAGAACGGAAUUGCUGUAUACUUGUAUCUCCUCGGCACCACGUCUAGAAAAGCCAGUGUAUAAUUUUGGCUGGUAACUGAUGGACACGGCGGGCAGCAGCAGGCAGGGCAGCGCACGAGAGCACCUCCCAGGGCACGGUGGGAAACUGGCCAGCCCAGCCCCGCUACUGCCCUCUCCUGCUCGUCCCCAGUCCCUGAGCUACAGGUGGCUGUAGGCAGAAGCCCACUGGGUGUUCCUUAGCGACAGACAGGUCGUCACCUGCUCCCCUUGAUGCCUUUUCACAGAAACAACCCUCAACUUGAGGAAGUUGAGAGCUCGACUCCAAGGUGGACUUGCUCCCCCUCCCCAAGAGCUGACUGGCUUGAACUGUCAUGAGUUCCUGGCUGCCCACAAUGAGGGACCUUCUCCACCCUUGGCCUCUGCGCGGGGCGGACAUCAGCCAGAUACAUCACAGACCUGAUUGGGGGCAGGGAGUAAGGAAGUCCAGGACCAAACCAUGCUCCCCAUGACGGCAGCUGGCGCCUCAGUCCCCAUCUGACUCAUGUUUCUUCUCAUCUGGUUCAGGACUUAGAAGGGCAUGGCCUCUGAUCAGCUGGUCCCCUCAAACCCCAGUGGCAACCUGUCCCUUGAGAGCCAGGAAUGGCUCUUAGCAGUGGGCAGUGAGCCCCCGAGAGGAUAAAGCGGCUGCUCGAACAGAUUGCGAGCACAUUACUUGCUGCAUGGGAAGAGGCUUAAAACAAAUCAAAGAUUCUUUAAGGGCAUUUUACAGAAAACAAGAUGUCGAGAGCAUCACUGUUAUUUAAAAGCCUGUUUGAGGCCGGGCGCGGUGGCUCACGUCUAUAAUCCCAGCACUUUCGGAGGCUGAGGCGCAUGGAUCACGAGGUCAGGAGAUCGAGACCAUCCUGGCUAACACGGUGAAACCCCCGUCUCUACUAAAAAUACAAAAAAUUAGCCAGGCGUGGUGGCGGGCGCCUGUAGUCCCAGCUGCUCGGAAGGCUAAGGCAGGAGAAUGGUGUGAACCUGGGAGGCAGAGCUUGCAAUGAGCCAAGAUCAUGCCACUGCACUCCAGCCUGGGCGACACAGCGAGACUCCGUCUCCAAAAUAAAAAAAAAAAGCCUGUUUGAGAUUGCUGACAUGAAGUUCUGAAAGACGACUACGUGCCUCCCAAGACUAACUGUCAGCUCAGAGGGCUGAGAAGGGGGUUCUGAGCUCAAGUCAAACAGUGGCUCAUGCGUUUCAUCAGUAACGCUCGUCAUUUCCCCAAAGGAGUCACUGAUCACGUCAGACCACAGGGGUCGGCCCACCUCAGGUUUGGGACAGUGUUCUUUCCUGGAAUGAAGCAGUGGCAAUGCCUCUGGCACAGGAUUGCUGGGCCUGCGGGAGGCCGGGAGGUACCUCUGUGCUGUGUCCCCAGUUGGAGGAGGCAGCUACUACUUGUAAGGCACGCAUAUUAUUUUGCAUUGGAAAAGUGAAGAUGGGCUUGCUGCAGAGGGAGUGAUGGCAGAGUUCACCUUGAAUGGUUCUACUGAGGAAGGGCUCCAAAGAGCCAGUGGGUUUUCCGCAGGCAGACGGGGCUCUCCCUGUCUGGCUCACCAGUGCAGGAAGCCAGGGAAGAAAUUACUGUGGGAAUUCUGUUAUUUCACAAGCACUUCAUCCCUGCAUCCCUGCACUUGGCACCGCAGGCCUCAGUGACCAGCUGCCGAAACGGUAAUUUCAGCAUUUUGGUCAAUAAGCAAACUGGAGAAGCAGCUGGGGUGGGGUGCAGUUCAGCCCGCUACCCUGACACUCUAGGCCCUGGCAUUUGCUUUAGCUGCUUUUGUAGAAUUGACAUGAGGGAGACUGUCCCUCUAGAGGAAAAGGCUCAGCUAUUACCAAUGAGGAAAAGGCAAUACUGAUGUGCUAGGGUUUUUUGUUUUUUUUAAUCUCAAACUUACGGAAAAGAUGCAAGUACGUUACAAAGAAUUUUGUUUCCUGAACCAUGUGAGUCAGUUGCUGAUAGUCUGCUACCCGUCCACGAUACAGACACUGAACAGGAAGUCAGCAUGGACACAGUACUCCCAGCGGGUCCUCAGGCCUGGUCAUGUCCUCUAGGAAAAGGAUCCAGUUCAGGAGCAGGAGCUGCACUUGGUUGUCAUCUCUUUGGUCUCCUUCUGAUUGGAAGCUUUUUGACUUCCAAGACGUGGAUACUUUUGAAGUGUUCUGAAUUUGUAGAAUGUUCCUCAGUUUGUGUUUGCCUGGUGUUUCCUCAUCACUGGAUUCAGGCUAAGCAUCUUUGGCAGGAGUGUGACAGCACUGACACUCUUGGGUGGCACGUACUUUCAAAGUGCCCGUUACUGAUGUGCAUUUUGACCACAUGGUGAAGACAGUGUCUGCUGGGCCUCUCCAGUGUGACUUUCCCUUUCUAACUGAACAGUGUUUUGUGGGAGACUCUCAAAAUCUGUAAGUACCCCUUCCUCAGCAAACUUUCAGAUCAAUUCGUAUGUAUUGGUGUGUGUGUGCAGUUCCCUAUUUAAAGGGCUGUACUGUAUUCCAUUAACAGUUAACUGUUAGGAUGCUCAGAUUGUCCCAGGUUUGGCCAGUGGAAGCCCCUACACAUAGGCUUUGGUGUCCUUUGGACGUGUCCCUAUCAUUCCUUGAGCACUCCCUUGCUUUCUGGCAAAACAGAUUUUGGGUUCAUCUUGUCCUUUCCCUGCCUAGCCCUGAAAUCAUUCCUCACUCCUUUUAGUGUUAGUGGAGAAUAAUACUUACCAGCAAAGGUCUGGGUCUAGGGGUGCUCACUGCAGUUGGGGUGUCACUGUUCCCAGGCGCUCCCAGUGGACAGACGUCGUUCUCGUUUUCUUCUUUCUGUGUCUAACUCCUCAGAGAAACCUGGCUCCCACCGUCCUGUUUACCUACCUGACUGCCUCCAUACAUAAGCAGCCUCCCUCCCCUGCCACCUCCCUCCCCUGCCACCUCCCUCCCCUGCCACCUCCUUCCCCUGCCACCACUCCGUCCCUGCAGAUGCCUUCCUCACCCACUUGGGCUCUCAUACUGCACAUCAGGCUGCCCACACUGACUCCCCGUAUCAGACCACCCCAGCCCUGCACGUACACCCCACACGGAUGCCAGCCCUCACCCUGCCCAUGCUGAGUCCCCGUGCUGUGGUGUUCCUCCACAUGGACAGCUCCACACCCUGCCUGGGCUGACACCCGCCCUCCCCACAAGCACCCUGUCCUCACCCUGCACUGGGCCACCCCCACGUGUGGAUGUCCUCGGUGGUAGGCAGAGUGGCGCCCCUAAAGAUGGCCACACCCUAAGCCCUGGAACAUGUGACUGUUACAUGGCAAAAGGAACUUUGCAGAUAAAAAUUAAGAUUGUAAACUUUAAAACAGGGAAAUUAUCCUGGAUUAUCUGCACAGGUCCAAUGUAAUCAAUCACAAGGGUCCAUAAGAGUAGAAAAGGCAGGCAGAAAGAAGCAUCAGUGGGAGAGAAGGACUGGGCCUGCUGCUGCUGGUGGAAGAUGAAGGGCCACGAGUCAGGAGGGAGGGUGGCCUUCACAGACUGGCAAAGGCCUCAGCUGGCAGCCAGCAAGGAAAUGCUGACCUUGGCCGGCCCCACAACUCCAGGAAACUAAAUUCUGCCAACAACCCUCAGCAAGGAAGCAGAAUCUCCCUUAGAGACGCCAGAGAACGGUCCUGCCAACAGCAAGACUUUAGCCUGGAGACACCCGUGUUGGACUUCUGACCUACAGAACUGAGAUAAAAUUGUGGUUUUUAUUUAUUUUUUAUUCUUUUUUGAGACAGAGUCUUGUUGUGUCGCCCAGGCUGGAGUGCAGUGACGCAAUCUUGGCUCACUGCAACCUCCGCCUCCUGGGUUCAAGCGAUUCUCCUGCCUCAGCCUCCUGACUAGCUGGGACUACAGGCACCCGCCACCACGCACGGCUAAUUUUUGUAUUUUUAGUAAAGACGGGGUUUCACCAUGUUGGCCAGGCUAGCCUCGAACUCCUGACCUUGUGAUCCGCCUGCCUCAGCUUCCCAAAGUGCUGGGAUUACAAGCGUGAGCCACCAUGCCUGGCCAAAUUGUGCUGUUUUUAAACAAAGCCUGUGGUAACUUGUUAUGGUAUUAACAGAAAACUAAUACACACUCCUCAUUCAAUGUGGGCACCUACAACCCAUGCCAGGCCACCUGUCAAGGGAACGCUUACCGUGAUCUGCCCCACUUAGUAGCUUUAGGCCUGAUUUGUUGAGAAAGAGAAACGACAGAAAUAGAUGGAGAAAGGGAAGGGUAAGUUCCGACAUGUUUCUGAACACCUUGAAAGGGAUGAGGUUUCUGAGCCCAAGAACAAGGGCUUUUGAGAUAUCUCUAGGAAUCCUCAGUCUCUUGGGAACACCAGUAGUUAUUUUCUGCCCUCAGAGUGCUGAGAACAUGCAUGGUCCACAAAACUUCCAAAAAGGAAAGCUGUACUUCCUUUGGAAGCAACAGCCACAUUAACUCAGCCUUUAUUAUUUAAACAACGAAUAUCCCUGGCUCUGUGGUAGUAACCAUUUCCCACUGUAAUUACUGUUGAACGCCAGCUCUGGGGGUAUGAUGCGGGGAACGCAUAGUGAGGUCCACACUCCUUGUGACCGCAGCCUGAGUUCCUGUCCAAAGGCUUCCCUGCAGCUGGGUCCACCCACAGGCUGCUGCUGAGCGGUAGGUGUGUGUGAAGACUGCAGAAACAGGAAGUGUUUGUGAAAGAGCACGCUUUAUUGGGAAGCAGACUGCUGCACAGUGACCAACAGACAGGCCACCCAAUGGGCACUUACACAUCGUACUCCAAAAGACACAGGAUGUUUUGCUAAUAAAAAUCAAUGAGAACAGGGAUUCCUCUGGGCAACUCCCCCAACCUCAUCCCUUUCAGGGAUUGAGAAAUCUCCCAACCAUUUUCCUGAUGGCAGCCAUGGUUCAUUAGAGAUACAGCCCCUCAGGGGUGCCUUCCUGUUUCUUAUAAAGAACAUUUUCUUUAGAUUUUUUGAAGUCUUCAUUUGUUACUUUCAUUCUACGUUCUCUUAAGGCCAUCAGACCAGCUUCUGUACAGAUUGCCUGUAAGAAACAACAGUGUGUUCAGGAAGUGAAAUACUCAUUUUUAUUCUAACAAGGAAUUCCAAAAAACCUAGUCUGAGGCCAGGUGCGGUGGCUCACACCUGUAAUCCCAGCACUCUGGGAGGCCGAGGCAGGUGGAUCGCCUGAGGUCAGGAGUUCAAAACCAGCCUGGCCAACAUGGUGAAACCCCAUCUCUACUAAAAAUACAAAAAAUUAGCCAGGGACGGUGGCAGGCACCUGUAAUCCUAGCUACUCAGGAGGCUGAGGCAGGAGAAUUGCUUGAACCCGGGAAGUGGAGGUUGCAGUGAGCCGAGAUCACCCCACUGCACUCUAGCCUGGGCAACAAGAGCAAAACUAUCUCAAAAAAAAAAGUCUAUUCUGAAGUAAAGCAUGAGACACCUAGACUAAACACAAACUGUUUAUUUGGGAAAGAUUUGAUUUUUUAAAAAAAUGUUUUAAGCAUCCUAUUUUCUGAAAGGAUGCGAAAUGGCUUAAACUGGGAGUUACUGUAACUAAGAAGACUGGCCCAAGGGUCAGGGCUGUGGGUUCUAGUUUUGGCUCAGGUUCUAACAAGCUAUGUGGCUUGGCAGAUCAAUAAAUUCUUACACCACCACUUUCGUUAAAGAGAAUAAUAUUCCUAGGAAAUAAACAAAAUUAUGCCCUGAAACUUAGAGGCAAUUGACAGUAUAUGUCUAUUUCAUUUACCUGUAGUCAUAAAAGAACAUGUAUUCUGGUUAGAUACUGUAAGUGGCAGUAUCUAUACUAUGGAAUAAUACUACAGAGUAUAGCAUUUAUUUCAAUAUAUUUAAUUUCUCAGUAAUUACUUGCCCAAAGUAAAAGAAAACAAUAACCCAUGUUACAUAGGUUGCUGUUACUGUUUUAGGCCUGAUCUGUUUAGAAAGGAAAGAGAAAUGAAGGAAAUAGAUAGAGAAGGACAGCAAACAAACAUAUUACGUGGGUUAUUGUUUUCUUUUUCUUUUGGCCAGUAAUUACUGUGGCAAAAAACACAAUCCUGGCACAGAAGUUUGUUUGGUGAUGGCCAUCAGGUCAUUUACUUCAAAUGGUUCGGGUGAAAAAGUUUUGUGUACAGAAAGAGAAAAAGCAAAUGGGUAAAAUGUUAACUCUUGGCAAAUCACUGUGCUAUUGCUGCAACUUUUUUGAAGGCUUGAAAAUUGUCAGUUUUUAUCUUAAAAAUAAAGUUUUAAGAUCUUCCAAUUUUUAAAAAAGAAGAUAGAUUUUACUCGCCAACAGAGACAUCUAGUUCUCUAGGACUAACUGCCAAUGAUCCGUGGGCUCAGGGCAGGUGCUGGCCUAGAAAGGCACUGCUUUUGCUGUCCCUACCUAACCACGGCACUUAUGCCUGACGAAAACCCAGCUCUUUCCAGGGGAAGCAGGUUGAACCCAUAUUCAACGCUGCCAGGCCUUGCUGUAAAUUCUGGUCAGCCGGGAGGAAAUGUCUGAACUCAUGUACAUUUGUCAUAAAACCAAGAAGUAUAAUCUGGUACAACCUUCCAGAACACAAAUUGGGACAUGAAUGCAGUGGGUGCUUGGUCCCCACUCUGCGGCUCUGGGGAGAGUUCUCCCAGGACAUACCCUUCCCCGACCUGGGACUAAGCAGCUACAUUUGACACACCUUGAGAAAGUCACCUGGGCCUAAGGCAGCUUAGUACCAGAGACUCAGCCUUGUGGCUCCAGGUGAUUUAGGGUCAUUCACUGCAUAAAAUGAUGCAUUAAAAAUGACUUCAAAUAACAAGCACAUAUACCAUUUGGAUAUAAUCGUAAACCACUAUGAUGAUUAAAAUAUAGACACCCACCUGUCCAGGCCAACCACCAUCCCAAGAGCACAUAUAGACUCUUUCCUGAUUGACAGCCACAUUCCCAGAAAUAAGCUGACACGGCUAGGCUCUCACCUUGAUGUCAGCACCAGAGAGGUCAUCUUUAGCCAUGAUCAAGUCGUCCAGGGUUACAUCAUCAGCCAGUGUCAUCCUGCUUGUGUGAAUCUGAAAGAUGCGCUUCUUCGUCUUUUCAUCAGGCAGGGGGAACUCAAUCUUCCUGUCAAUGCGGCCUGCAGGUACGAAAAGAUUUUAAGUCACACUACCAUCCAAACCCAGGCUUGGCCAUGGCUCAGAGGCCUCAGCCCAUCUCCUUAAAUAUGAAGUUUCAGUCAGACAGUAUUCUGUGGGAAGGAUGUCCAAAUUUUAAAAAGUAAACAUACAUCUUUGUAAGUUUGUAAAUUUCUACAUUUGAAUUCUCUUCAUUUAAAAGAAACUCUCUGCUUUGGUACCUUCAGAAAUAAAUGAAAGGAGCAAUUCCUGAGUGAAACUGGACAGACCUAUUGUGUUAAAAACAUUACAAAAGACAGCAAACAAAUCACUGUUUCUUCUGAUGCUACCUGAAUGUAAAAAGGACAAAUCCUACCAUCACAUGAAUUAUUUCUUCCAGAAAAAGCAGCAAGUUCUUGAGGCUAAAAAGGGAAUAUUAUGGAAAAGAAAAGAUCAAGACAUAAGACUGGAAUUCAAAGGGCCAAGGUGCACAGACCAUAUCAUGCUCUGUUUUAACUCUCAUCUCAAGGGGACCUAUUUUUUUUUAAAUUAUCCUAAGUUUCACUGCAGUAUUUGCUUUUUUAUGUAUUAUUUUAUAGGCCUCCCAAAGCACACUUAAACACAAAUACAUAAACACAUUAAUCUCCAUGAUGAAACAAAAGCAAAUUUAACCUGGUCUGAUAAGUGCUGGAUCCAAAGUUUCUAUUCGGUUUGUGGCCAUGAUAACUUUCACAUCUCCCCUAGAAUCAAAUCCAUCCAACUGGUUCAGCAGUUCCAACAUUGUUCGCUGAAUUUCUCUCUCACCACCAGAAUUGGAGUCAUAUCUUUGGAAAAAAAAGGAAGGAAUGAAGACCCAACUGAUCGCCUGCUCAAGGGGAAUUACAGCAAAGACCUCAUUGUGACAAAACACCUUACAAACAUUCCUGUUUCAACUCACAUGGCACUCCCUCAAUUAUGCUCAGAAAAAAACACAUUCAGCACCCCUUGCCAUGGUCUGAAUGUAUUUCCCCAAAUUUAUGUGUUGAAACUUAAUCCCUACUGGGUGGUUAAGAGAUGAGGCCUUUUGGAAAGGGCUAAAGGCAUGAGGCAGAGCCUUAUACAGCAUGAGUUCCUUAUAAAAAGAGAAAAAGGCCUUAUACAGCAUGUAUUCCUUAUAAAAAUGCUGCAGGGAACUAGCGUAGGCCCUUUUUGCUCUUCCAUUUGUCCCCUUAGCAUUUGUCCCCUCUACAGAAUAGGUGCCAUCUCGGAAGCAGAGAGCAGCCCUCACUAGACGUCAAUGCCAGUGCCUUGAUCUUGGGCUUCUCAGCCUCCGGAACUGUGGGAAAUACAUUUCUAUUCUUUAUACAAAUACCAGUCCUAAGGUAUUUUGUUUAGCAGCACAAAUGGACUAAGACGCUCCCCAUCAGCCAAGUUACAGAUCAUAUUUUUUCAUGGCAGUUUCUGUGCCUGAAAUUGUAUCAUUUAUUCUGUUUCCAUGUUUGGUAUCUGAUCCCUACAACCUGUGAGCUCCUCCAGGGCAGAGACUGUUGUGCUCACAACUGUGUCCCUAGAGUCCAGAUGGUCCUGGCUCAGGGCGGGUGCUCAAGACAUGGUUAUUCACAAGUGGCCAACCUCUCUAGACAUUCACAGUUCCUGGGCAGUUGUUAGCUGGCUCCUGGGAGAGCAGAGCCUAAAGCAUGCAUGGAAGGCCACGCAUGGCAAGAACUGUGGCCACAGGGAGAGCCCCCUGAGAUCGUUCAUUUUCAAGAGAAGAGCUAUGCGGUGUUCCCUCUAAACAAGGCAAAAUAAGUAUGAGAAAGUCUACCUUUUUGUCCCAAUGGCAUCAAUUUCAUCAAUAAACACGAUGGACGGUGCAUGUUCUUCAGCAACUCGAAAUAAUUCCCGUACGAGUUUGGGCCCAUCACCUAGGUACUUCUGAAUAAGUUCAGAGCCAACCACUCUCAAGAAAGUGGCUGAGGUUUGGUUUGCUACUGCUUUGGCUAACAAGGUUUUACCUAUUUUAGAUGAAAAAAGAUAAAAAAAAAAAGACACCUGAAGUGCCGUUUUUAACUUAAAAACUCGUAUCAUUACCACCUUAAAUGGACACCAAAAACAGGUGUGCCCUCAUGCUAAGGCAUGCCACCAAUUCAAGUGUCACGACAUUUCAUUCUCCUAAGUAGAUAAGAGGACAUUUAGAAAAAUCUACUAACAUGUUUGGAUUAUCCUUAGCUAUUUUCCUGAAUUUAUGAUAACGUCAGAAAAUACUUUUUACUUGGUUAUUUUCCAACCCUGACCCAGUUUCCCCUGAAGAGCUGCGAACUAUAAUUACCUGUACGAAGAAUUGCUUCGUACCAGCAAUGAAAUAAAUCUCAUUUUUUUUC